UACGUAGGGUGCGAGCGUUGUCCGGAAUUACUGGGCGUAAAGAGCUCGUAGGUGGUUUGUCGCGUUGUUCGUGAAAACUCACAACUCAAUUGUGGGCGUGCGGGCGAUACGGGCAGACUGGAGUACUGCAGGGGAGACUGGAAUUCCUGGUGUAGGCGGUGGAAUGCGCAGAGUAUCAGGAGGAACACCCGGUGGCGAAGGCGG
rnacentral:rRNA from 1 species